GGGUGUGAAAGUGACUUGGCUGUAACAUGUGACCCAAUGACUGGCUGUCAAGGCGGGUUCUCCACUCGCUUCCUCACUGUUCCACCUGUGUUCCUCCCAAAGCUGCAUGCCUGGGUGAAGAAGAUGACCUUCCCCACAGAGGAGGACCAGUUCUGGAUCAGGGGCACACAGGUAGCUGCACUCUCCUGCAAGGACAUCCAGACACACUCUGAACCAGGCCACAUGCCCACAUGUUCCCAGGCUCCUUCGACAGGUUUGUCGGUAGAA
rnacentral:sRNA from 1 species